UAUAAACGUCUGUUUCUUCGAUAAUGUGAUAAAACAAUUGAAAUGAAUUUUAUUAUUAAUUUGACAUUUGGAAUGAAUGACCUAUGAACAAGAACAGAAGUCUUAUCAAAUUCGUGCAUUAGUGGUCUUCGAAUUCCUUAUUGAGAUCCGGCACUGUUUCGGGUUAGUUGAAAUUCCAAAUCGGUUGUCAUUACUGCGGCCAUUCCAACUACCGGCUUCGGAGGUCCGCCAGCUCCAGGUGCAAACCCUUGGAUUCCAUCAUGGAUUUCCCAGGCCCCAUGGAUGCCUCAAUGGACACCAUGCACCGGGGUUGGCUCCACCUGCCUGGACUGCAACACCAAACAGAUUUGUACCAAA